rnacentral:rRNA from 1 species
UGGGGAAUUUUGGACAAUGGGCGCAAGCCUGAUCCAGCCAUGCCGCGUGAGUGAAGAAGGCCUUCGGGUUGUAAAGCUCUUUCGGUGGGGAAGAAAUAGCGUGGGUUAAUACCCUGCGUUGAUGACGGUACCCGCAUAAGAAGCACCGGCUAACUACGUGCCAGCAGCCGCGGUAAUACGUAGGGUGCGAGCGUUAAUCGGAAUUACUGGGCGUAAAGCGUGCGCAGGCGGUUGUAUAAGUCAGAUGUGAAAUCCCCGGGCUCAACCUGGGAACUGCAUUUGAGACUGUACGGCUAGAGUGUGGCAGAGGGGGGUGGAAUUCCACGUGUAGCAGUGAAAUGCGUAGAGAUGUGGAGGAACACCGAUGGCGAAGGCAGCCCCCUGGGCCAUUACUGACGCUCAUGCACGAAAGCGUGGGGAGCAAACA